rnacentral:lncRNA from 1 species
CAGAAUAACAACAGUGUUUCUUUUCAUAUUUCUGUCUUCAGAAUAGCUUCAGGGAGUUUGGCCUGGUUGUAAUUGGUAAGAAAAACAGGAAUCUUCAAUUCUUUCUGGUGUUGCUUUGUUUCACUUGUAUCACCGACAGCUAGUAGUUACACGCAAAAAAAGUUUUCUUAGCAUUCUACCUAGUAAUUCCAGAUGCGACACCAGUGAUCUGGAUGCUACUCAGGGUGGACGAUAUGAAAGCAGCUCUUCGUAAAAGCCAACCUUUGAAGCCCUCUGUGACCAGCUCUGCCACUCAGCAUCUGCUGAUGCCUGACAGGCCCUAUUCCCUGGUCUAAAUCCCCAGGUUUACAGGAACCAGGAAUGUCUGGAACAGCUGUGACCUGUGGACAACAUGGAAAAUCACAUCAAGAACAUCGAUUACUGUAAGAACUAAUGACUACUCCCAAACAAGUACAUCACAACCUGUACCUAAAACUAAUGGACACUACUCAAAGACCCACCUUAAAUGAAACUCCAAGAUAUAAUAAUAUGAUCUGGCCCUUUCGAUACAUUAACAGAGCUCUGUCAAGAUGGGGCUCAGUAUGGCAGAGAGCAAUAAACCUAGCUCUGUAUAGCUUAUACUGGUGAUAUUUGGGAAACCAGCAAUCAACAAUGUAGAAAAACUACAUAAUACAUGAAUGCAGAAAAAGAAAAAAGGAAUAUGUAAAAAAUAUUAAGUUAGAGGCUGUUAUGAGUUUUUAAAAACUUUUAUAUGGUUUUUCUCAUAUAUUGAGAGGAAGACAUACUUCAACCACUAACAAAGUUCAUUUUUGCAUAAGCCACUUUUUUUUUUUUUUGGUACUGGGGAUUGAACUUGGGAACUCUGCGCUUGCGAGGCAGGCACCGGAACCACUGAGCUAAAUCCCCGGCCCUGCACAAGCCACUUUUUAAUGUGUAAACAGCAAAUAAAGGCAAAGUUGUGUAACUUAUGCUCUUUUUUGUCUUUUGUAGAACAAUUAUUAAUAAUCCACAGGGCAGCUCAUAUAAGUAGGAAACUGAGCUGUUAUGCUUGGAGAUUUAAAAUAAUUACGGC